rnacentral:rRNA from 1 species
AUUGAACGCUGGCGGCAUGCCUUACACAUGCAAGUCGAACGGUAACGCGGGGCAACCUGGCGACGAGUGGCGAACGGGUGAGUAAAGCAUCGGAGCGUGCCCAGUAGUGGGGGAUAGCCCGGCGAAAGCCGGAUUAAUACCGCAUACGACCUAAGGGUGAAAGGGGGGGAUCGCAAGACCUCUCGCUAUUGGAGCGGCCGAUGUCAGAUUAGCUAGUUGGUGGGGUAAAAGCUCACCAAGGCGACGAUCUGUAGCUGGUCUGAGAGGACGACCAGCCACACUGGGACUGAGACACGGCCCAGACUCCUGCGGGAGGCAGCAGUGGGGAAUUUUGGACAAUGGACGAAAGUCUGAUCCAGCCAUGCCGCGUGCGGGAAGAAGGCCUUCGGGUUGUAAACCGCUUUUGUCGGGGAAGAAAUCCUUUGAGCUAAUACCUCGGGGGGAUGACGGUACCUGAAGAAUAAGCACCGGCUAACUACGUGCCAGCCGCCGCCGUAA